rnacentral:rRNA from 1 species
UACGUAGGGCGCAAGCGUUGUCCGGAAUUAUUGGGCGUAAAGAGCUCGUAGGUGGUCUGUUGCGUCCGCUGUGAAAACCCAGGGCUUAACCCUGGGCUGGCAGUGGAUACGGGCAGACUAGAGGUAGGUAGGGGAGAAUGGAAUUCCCGGUGUAGCGGUGAAAUGCGCAGAUAUCGGGAGGAACACCGGUGGCGAAGGCGGUUCUCUGGGCCUUACCUGACACUGAGGAGCGAAAGCGUGGGGAGCGAACAGG